ACUACUGUACUGACGUUACAAGCAUGAUUCAGAAGAUAGUGAAUGGAUUAACAUUUUCAACACUAGUUAAGGAUACUAUAGGCCUAGUUAUCACGUUUUAUGUUGGAUUUAUCAACUACAAAAAGUAUCUUUGAUGAGGGACCAGGAGACGAUCUAAGCUGCCAUGCCCAUCAAUGGGGCUCUGGCAAAGACCUUACCUCCAGCCUCACCUCUAGCCUGCUCACCAAUGGUCGUCGAUGGGGAGACCAGAAUUGAAUGCAUCUAUUGAGCCAGCACUUGCAAGAUGAUGUGAUGGAGUCCUGACCGACAGACAAACUUGAUACUGACGACUGUGAAUAGGGAGAGACCUGACACAACUUUCACUUGUAUUGUCUUUUUUUAUUAUUGAAUUGAAUGCUAUCAGUCAAUACUGGGACGGAGAAAUCCUGUGUAUUCUGCACCAGGAUCAGGGAACUACUGUUGUAUACCGGACACCACACAGGAAGGUAUGACCACUCUGACAUGUUUGCCAAGGUAGCCCCAUUCCCACCAGACAAAAUGCCAAUAGGCACAGUAUCUGUAUUGGCUGGGAAUGACAGUGAAAUGUGAAAGGUGCACAUGUAUCUACAUGGAUGUUACUACAUUUGAAAGUUAUCAAAACACCUAGUUUAAAAUAUCAACAUAAAUUCAGCCAUUCCAUUUUUCUCAUAUUACUCUGUAGGUUACUGACCUAUUCAAAGCUUCCUCCGGCAUAUCACCAUACAUCUAUCUGCCUGUAGUUAUUGAACUCAACCUGCAGGAGGUUUGUUUGUUGUGAUUGAGUGGGGGAAAAGGUUCUGACAGAUGGGUGUGUCUUGGUGGAGGCAAGGACACACCCAACAAACACACACAUCAAACCACACCCCCAACUCCCGUUUGGCUUCGGUCAUAGCCGCCAGCAUUUCUUGAAGAGCAAGCCAAAAAAUGAGGCCUAAUCAGCGGGUGCUGUUCCCCUUUAAGCAACUGUAAUUAAACUGCAAGAGCUUGUGAGUCUUUUUUUGAAAGGUUAAAUUAAGUUCAGACUACAUAAUAGCUUUCUGCAAAGCCCUAUACGGUACAUCAAGGUUAAUAUAGAUGUGUUUUUAUAUUUGUUUUUAGUUCUAUUAGUUUGAAGAUUUUUAUUUGAAAUUCAGUUUAGUUUCAGUUAGUUUUCAGAUCCCCUUGACUAUUUUUUAAACUGUAGUAGUGGGUCAACUUCAACAACAAGCAGGAACGCUUAAUCACGAGGCUAAACUCCCCUGCAGCAAAGUCUUGCAUCAUGCUCUUCUCAAUAGGCGGGUUUGAGCUGAUCACUUUUGUUAAGUUGGUGACUAACACCUUUCAAAGUUUGUUGCAUUUUGGGGAUAAAAACUGACCGACUUGGGAGGCUCUAUUGUCAACCAAUCAUUAGGGUGUUUUUGUUUGACGCACGCGAACGUGACCAGAGACAUGAAUGAAACAGGAACAAAUUUGCUGUGAUUUAUGUGUGCAGUAGAUAUAUGCAAAUAAAUGUGAUAUUUGAGGCUCUCUCUCACUAAUUGAUUGUACAAUGUGUACAGACACAAUAUUAUAUUAUGAUUUCUGUUAGUGAGUGUGUUAUAUGGGGGUUGGAGACAUGUUUAUUUCGACAUUAUAAUUUAUUUAUUUUGAUAAACAAUGGCAAAACUGCCAUGUUGAACUGAGCCUUGCUGUUGGAAAACCACAUUAGUGGUCGCAGAUGCACCUCCCCGACUUCACUCCUCGACGUUCGUCUAGUCGGUUUCUUUAGCCUUACCACUCAAACGCUCCCAAUAUCUGUGGUGCUGCUCAUGGCAACAUCUUCCCGCUGAAUCUACCAUUAAAUUAUACAGUCAAUCUCAAUGUGACCCAUCAGAAGCUUGAAAGCCCCAUAAAAAGAAACACUCCACAUUCAAUUUCUGCCCCACAAAAAAACAGAAACUGAACAUAAUUCAUGAUGGUUUGUAUUUUAUUUUAGUCAAAGACAAUAGUUUCAGUGUAGUUUUAGUUUUUCAAAAGGGUUUGUUAAUUAUUUUAUUUCAGUUUACUAAAUAGUUUUUUCAUGAUUAGUUUUAGUUUCAGUUUUAGUUUACUACAAUGUGUACAUUCAGUCUUACCAAAGCCAUAUACCGUACUUUACAUUAAUGUCUAACCAUAAUAGAAUUAUGUAUUCUAGUAAAACUCCUGAAUAAAUGUUUUUAAACUGUAAAACGUUUCAACAGAAUGAGAAUAACAAAAAAUGUACCGAAAUAUGUUUUGUUUUCAUUGAUGUUUGCCUAAUAACAACAGCACUGUGCCAUGGGAAAAUAAUACUCUCCACUACAGCUGCCGGCAUCUCACAGUAGUAUCUCACAGUAGGAUCUCACAGUAGUAUGUCACAGCAGUAUCUCACAGCAGUAUCUCACAGUAGUAUCUAACAUUAGACAAGUAAAAAUCCAUCACUAGAAGCAGCAGCAUGGUGAAACGAGGCAGGUGUCCUUGAGCUAGCUGUGUAACAUGUAUAAAUACAAGUGAUUGUACUUUUAUUGACAUUCAUCCCCUGCAGUGUGAAAGAUGUGUACACUCUACUAGCUUACAGUAUAUCCACUGGCUCUGUGUGUUGGUGUGUUAACGUAGAGCAGGCCCUAUUCCCUAGACUCAGAGCCCACCCUGUUCUCACAGCAGUGAUUGACUGAACUCACACAUAUUUUGCACAAGUGCCAGCCAGCUCCCUCCUAAUCAUGUCCUUAUUAAGCAGGAGACCAUGUCUUUCUGUUUCACCCAAACACCCCCACACACAAACCAAAGCUGUCCAGAUAGGCUACACGAAUCCAUGCGCAAAGACAAAGAUAAAUACAGACCAUACUGAAGGUUUCGCUGUUGCAUAACAAUCUCACACUGAGAUUGAGUCAUAUAGUUCACACUGGGCCAGCCAGCAUAUUCACAGCCUCUCAACAGACUCACACCUACAGUACUGCAGCUUCUCACAUGGGAGCUCUCAAAUGUACACAAACAGUGAGUGCAGCCGAACUCUAAAACAGGCACCAUGUACACACACACACACACACUUUGUUGUGUGUUUAUAAGUGAGAGAGAGAGAGAGAGAGAAAGUGUGUGGAGGCUCAUCUCAUGGUCUGCACCUCUCCUUCCACUGGGGGUAUGCGUCACUGCGGCAAAGGGCCUGUGUGUGUGUGUGUGUGUGUGUGUGUGUGUGUGUGUGUGUGUGUGUGUGUGUGUGUGUGUGUGUGUGUGUGUGUGUGUGUGUGUGUGUGUGUGUGUGUAUUGAUACGUGUGUGUGUGAGCUCUCCGGCAGAAUAGGGAGCUGACUGCUUCACAGCCAACAAGCUGUUCCACAAAGUGCUACUCAUGGAACAGUACCUCCACCCCAGGGGCCUUAGUGAUAGCCAUGCUGACCUUGUCUCUCCAGACCUUCAUCCAGACCAUCCCCUCCCCUACAGACCAACUGUGCAGUAAGAGACAGACUACACACACCAAACCAGCUCCAAAAUAAACCUGUUUGGUUCAGUUUAUAGCAGUUUAGCCCACAUACACACACACACGUACACACACGCAUACAGGCAGGGGAGGACCAACCCUAAUACACCACUCACAGUGCCCCAAUACAGCUUAAAACUCACUAAUCCUGAUCCUGCAUAUCAGUAUGGCCAUCGGCGCACCCUCCCCCCUUCCCUACAUGGGCUGCUUGUCAGAUCAGAGCAGAGGGAAUCGAUAGCAGACAACCCUCUCACAUAUACCUGCCUGUUUAGUAUGCCUGCUCUGAUUCCCAGGUAAUUGGAACCCUUAGUGAAAUGCUGUCAGUUA